AUUAAACGCUGGCGGCAUGCCUUACACAUGCAAGUCGAACGGCAGCACGGGGCAACCCUGGUGGCGAGUGGCGGACGGGUGGAGUAAUGCAUCGGAACGUGCCCUGAAGUGGGGGAUAACGCAGCGAAAGCUACGCUAAUACCGCAUAUUCUGUGAGCAGGAAAGCAGGGGAUCGCAAGACCUUGCGCUUUGGGAGCGGCCGAUGUCGGAUUAGCUAGUUGGUGGGGUAAAGGCCUACCAAGGCGACGAUCCGUAGCGGGUCUGAGAGGAUGAUCCGCCACACUGGGACUGAGACACGGCCCCAGACUCCUACGGGAGGCAGCAGUGGGGAAUUUUUGGACAAUGGGCGGAAGCCUGAUCCAGCCAUGCCGCGUGAGUGAAGAAGGCCUUCGGUUGGUUAAAGCUCUUUCGGUCGGGGAAGGAAAUUG
rnacentral:rRNA from 1 species